rnacentral:rRNA from 1 species
GAUGAACGCUGGCGGCGUGCCUAAUACAUGCAAGUCGAGCGAACGGACGAGAAGCUUGCUUCUCUGAUGUUAGCGGCGGACGGGUGAGUAACACGUGGAUAACCUUCCUAUAAGACUGGGAUAACUUCGGGAAACCGGAGCUAAUACCGGAUGAUAUUUUGAACCGCAUGGUUCAAAAGUGAAAGACGGUCUUGCUGUCACUUAUAGAUGGAUCCGCGCUGCAUUAGCUAGUUGGUAAGGUAACGGCUUACCAAGGCAACGAUGCAUAGCCGACCUGAGAGGGUGAUCGGCCACACUGGAACUGAGACACGGUCAAGACUCCUACGGGAGGCAGCAGUAGGGAAUCUUCCGCAAUGGGCGAAAGCCUGACGGAGCAACGCCGCGUGAGUGAUGAAGGUCUUCGGAUCGUAAAACUCUGUUAUUAGGGAAGAACAUAUGUGUAAGUAACUGUGCACAUCUUGACGGUACCUAAUCAGAAAGCCACGGCUAACUACGUG